AUCGUCUUCAUAUCGCCAUGCCU
rnacentral:siRNA from 1 species